GGGCCGCAAGGUUAAAACUCAAAGAAAUUGACGGGGGCCUGCACAAGCGGUGGAGUAUGUGGCUUAAUUCGAUGCAACGCGAAGAACCUUACCUGGCCUUGACAUGCAUCUCUAAGCGUGUGAAAGCACGUGAGCUCUUCGGAGCAAUUUGCACAGGUGCUGCAUGGCUGUCGUCAGCUCGUGUCGUGAGAUGUUGGGUUAAGUCCCGCAACGAGCGCAACCCUUGUGUCCUGUUGCCACCCUCUUCGGAGGAGCACUCUGGACAGACUGCCAGGUUCCAACCUGGAGGAAGGUGGGGAUGACGUCAAGUCAGUAUGGCCCUUACGGCCAGGGCUGCACACGUACUACAAUGCCCGGCACAGAGGGAAGCAAGACCGCAAGGUGGAGCAAAUCCCUAAAAACCGGGCUCAGUUCGGAUUGUCGUCUGCAACUCGACGGCAUGAAGCUGGAAUCGCUAGUAAUGGCGCAUCAGCUACGGCGCCGUGAAUACGUUCCCAGGCCUUGUACACACCGCCCGUCACAUCAUGAAAGCCGGUUAUACCCGAAGUCGCCCAGCUAACCCGCAAGGGAGGCAGGCGCCGAAGGUAAGACUGGUGAUUGGGAUGAAGUCGUAACAAGGUA
rnacentral:rRNA from 1 species